rnacentral:lncRNA from 1 species
UCCCAAGUGACGGAGUCCCCUAUUCAAGAAAACACUUAAGCAUGUGCAUAAUUUUAAACAUACUUAAGUUGUCCUGAAAUCAGUGAGACCUAAGCAGAUGCAUAAGUGCUUUCUUGAAUCAGGACCCAAGAGAGGAAAGUUGACAUUUUAACACACUGGCCAUUUUGAUUUACUGUAAAAUUUCUUCUGUUUUUUCAAGUCCUUGGAGUCACAACUUGGUAUGAGAACACUGUCUUUCCAUUCCCUAAUCUGUCCCAUCAUACGCUCUGCUGCAAUAUCACAACUGCUCUUCAUCAGCACUGAAGCAGAGAGGUGUGCCUUGAUAGAUAUGCCAAGAAGUACUCCCUGUGAUAUCUUAGUUCCUUGUUCUGCGGAUAUAUUUCAGUACUGCCAUCUCAAGUGCUUAUGCCCAAAUAAAUCUGUUUGUCUCUAAGGUGCCACAAGGACUCCUCGUUGUUUUUGCUGAGACAGACUAACAUGGCUACCACUCUGAAACAUCUCAAAUGCCAUUGAUCUGGCACCUUUUGUUAGCUUGGAUGCACAUUUUGACAGAACAAAUAGCGCUCUGAAUUUAUUUCCUCCAUAGAGGCUAAAGUUUUGUAUCAGUUCUGUUAAGUUUACAGUUUGGAUAUAAUUCAAAACAGUGUUUCAUGGUUACUCCAGUGUGUCAUUGUGAUAUGUCCUGUGCACUUCGGUUUUAGAGCACUGCUCAUUUAUCAGUGAAAAUAUCUUAGACAUUAUGACAAAGCACAGGUUUUCAUCCAUGUCCUCCACUUCACUUGUUUUACAGCUCCAGAGAGGUAACAUGUAUUAUUGACAAAGGGUUAGAUUCUGCUACCCUUACUCACUUUGAAUAGUAUUUUACUUUUAAACUAAUCCUACUCAAGGGCCAGCCCAUGGACCAUCCUUACGCACACCGAUGAGCCGUUAAUUACACUAGUCCCUAAAUUCCUGCCUAACACCUUCAAAAGAUGACUCUGGGAGCUUAAAAUGAUAACUUUGCUAGACACUAAAAAUCAUGGACUCAGUAGAGACUUGGGAUUUAUGGUUUAUUACAACAAUCUGUAACCCGGUAACCACCUUUUCCCCCCCACUGUGACGGCAGAGGUGUUAACUACCCACUUCACCUUGACUGGUACUAACUACUUAUGUUGCACAAUCUAUUCCACCUUGUAUUUAGCUUUGAUAUUCUGAGUCCAUUUCCCAGACCUAAAGAAGAGUUCUAAGUAAGUUCAAAAACUUGUCUCUUUCACCAACAGAAGUUGGCCCAAUAAUAAAGAUAUUAGCUCACUCA